UGCCAGCAGCCGCGGUAACACGGGGGGCGCAAGCGUUAUCCGGAAUUAUUGGGCGUAAAGGGCGCGCAGGCGGUCUUGUCAGUCAGGUGUGAAAGCCCGGGGCUCAACCCCGGAUGGUCACUUGAAACAGCAAGACUUGAGUACGGAAGGGGAGAGUGGAACUCCUGGUGGAGCGGUGAAAUGCGUAGAUAUCAGGAGGAACGCCGGCGGCGAAAGCGACUCUCUGGUCCGGUACUGACGCUGAGGCGCGAAAGCUAGGGGAGCAAACCGGAUUAGAUA
rnacentral:rRNA from 1 species